CCCAUCCCACCACCGAGAGGUGGCGAGAAAAGUAGGGACUGUUGGUUGAUGAUUAAACAAUUUUAUUAAGCAACAGGCGUUUCCAAACAGUCACAGCUUCAGAUACUUUUUGAGCAAGUUUUACUGCACUAGUUCUGAAAACUGCACUACUAAAGAUGCCUUAUUGGAGCCAACCCUGCAAAGUUCUAGUCUGGGAAACUGGGAAAUUCUUUUCUAAUCUCGUUCAUUUUUUUUUGUUUUGUUGGAAAAUAAGAAUUUGGGAGAUGUUAUGUACGAAUAUCACAUUAUUACUGCUACGAAUAGUUUUGAGAUUUAUGUACACAUAAACCAAAUGGUGCAAGUACUGGAGAAUUUUGUGUUUUCUUAAUAUCAAGUGUUGCAAGCACACUUUAACAGUGAUUUUAUUUUCAUGGUCUUUGAUCUCAA